rnacentral:rRNA from 1 species
UACGUAGGGGCAAGCGUUGUCCGGAAUGACUGGGCGUAAAGGGCGUGUAGGCGGCUUUUUAAGUCUGGAGUGAAAGUCCAUUUUUCAAGGAUGGAAUUGCUUUGGAUACUGGAAAGCUUGAGUGCGGAAGAGGUAAGUGGAAUUCCCAGUGUAGCUGUGAAAUGCGUAGAGAUUGGGAGGAACACCAGUGGCGAAGGCGACUUACUGGGCCGUAACUGACGCUGAGGCGCGAAGGCGUGGGGAGCGAACAGGAUUAGAUACCCGCGUAGUCCCUGAG